UAUCCUUAUUGCCCAUGGGAUAUAUUUAUUUUUGCGCUUUGCUGCUGGCUCUCUAGUGAAGAUAUUUGACACCCAUUUCGUUCGACAUCUUGUCCUUCCUUCCUAAAUUUACACGCCAUCGACCAACUUAACUUUUUGCUUGCACUAUCCAUCAACUUUUCUAUCAGCUUUCUCACUCUUUUCAUCUUAUCGUCUUUAAUAAAUUGAGUCACAUUAACAAGAGGAAGCAGCUGUCCACGAACGUAUUUUCCACUACUGCUUUCCUUACUUCCCUUGCGAGGUAAUAAUGGGGAUUACUUUUAAGUAGAAUCUUGCCUUGCAACUUGUCACAUGUCUAAGUUAGCUGCGGUAGGAUCUACGGUUCGCCUUAUCGAGUAAUAACAACCACUGUGUUUCAACAAUUCUGAAAGGUUUUCCUGCUUCCUACAGAAAUUAUUUGGAAACUGCGAUCACGUUACUCGCAACAAGUGUGAUUGAUUGAGUAUGACUGCGGUGUACAGCGUUAGGGCGACGUGAAGACUGCGAAUUUACAGCACUGCCAAGUUAACAAGAGCCACAAGCGGCCCGUGAACCGCAUUAUGCCCACCACUGUUCUAUGCUGUGCACUCUGAUACUUCACUUGUAUGUCCGAUGUCAACGAAAUGCCUUUCCGUACUACAUUUAUAAUACUAUGUCGCUCUGAUGAUAAUACAUGUGAUUGAUCUCAAAUCUUAUAUAUAUAGCAGCUUUCAGUGGUCUGAAGAUGCCACUCCUCAAUCUUUUCCGAUUGAUCUGCUCCUAUUUGCUCGUCCUCUCGCUUUCAGGAUUCCAGUCGAACACACAUUCGGAGAUGUCUUCCGUGUUUCUCAGAAUGUACCUAGCCUAGCGCCAUUUAGACUCACCCUCACUCUAAUGUCCAUGGAUCUGUCCUAAGGGAUUUUCCGAAGGGCUUCAUUUGACUUAAGAUCAGGUGGAUAACUGUGCGCUGGACAUUUUCCAAUUAGGUCAUAGUUCUGCAAAGUGUCUCAUGCUUUGUUCUCUCUGUGUUCGACAUCUUUGUUGGCACUUCCAUCCACUCAGAUAGCGGUUCCAAGACAACAGAAAAGACUUGACUCUUUGUAUUGUCUUUGGUCUCGUCUCCUCGUGUGUGUAGCGUAUUCUCAUUUCUACUGUCUCCCUGGGUGUCUUUAAAUCAGUUAACUGUGCUUGCCUUGUUUUGGAGCCUUGCCGUCAAGCCUCGAAGAACAAUCAACAAGGACAGCAUAUAGCUAUGAUUCAUUCCUGCAUUUGUUUGAAAACAUUCUGAAAGCUUGAUUCGUUCUUCAACGUGGAUCUGCAAUCUCGAUACUUAAUUUUUACGGAAAUACUUGAGCUUCCAACGCUGUCCAGAGUUAGCUUCGUUUGAAACUGUCAGAAGCUACCUCGGAAUAUCCAGAUCGCACUUCCAGCGGUCACCGGAUUGUACUGAUCAUUUCACUAAAAUCUUUAGUGUGGCGAUAUAGUCCGAGCAAGAUCGGUUGACUCCGAUCCGGCUUUCAUUCUCUUUUUUUGUUAUAGUGUGUUAGACUCUAUUUAGAUUAUUCUUGGGGAAAUCUUGCUGGGAACGGGAGUAGAUCUCUCUUUACUACACAAUUACAUAUUACCGUUAAUCAGGCUGCACAAUAUUUCAUAUUUCGACCACUAACAUAGUCGUCUUCAUCAAUACGGAGAAUGGGCGUACCUACAGAAUAUAUCUGCCACCUCAGCUGGCCAAUAUUCACGCAGGCUCUUUGAAUGAUUCUCACACAUCUCCUGAGCAGUUUAAACGCUCACUAUAUUACCAUUAUCCAGCCUACACCAUCGCCCAUGCGUAGUUCGGGGCAUAACACAAAGCCCAUAAUUUAUAAACCUUACCAAGAUAACUGACUCACUCUUCGAAAUACUGUUCAAAAAAUUAGAUUCGUCAUCCGGCUAGUCGAUCAAGAAUGAGACUGACAGUUGUGAUGCUCUUAAUAACAUCCACGAAAAUUGUUUCCAACUAUCCCUUUACCUUUGCUAGAACGCCCCCUCAAUUAUGUUUCCUAAAAAGCGAUUAUCCCCUAGGCCAUGGUCCACAAAAAUACUUUUUCCCCAUCUGUUCAACUUACCAAGUUUUUUCAAGCACCUCCUUGCCAUUUUUUAAAAAUCCAUCGAUCGUGUCUCGGUGAGACUUCUCUAGAUCCGCAUUUCCAUUACUUACCUUUCCUACUUUCUGACUGUGUAGUAUUCACUGCCACAUACGUGUUCCAAAUAAACGUUUGAUCAAACAAAUAUUUUAUCGAUGAGCCUCGUGAAAUUAAGGCAACCAAGUCUAUUGUUGGUUUACAACCCAUCUCACAGGCAUCGUCAUCAGUACGAAUUGGUGAACAUCAGUUUCAUUUUUUGUGUUCGCUGUCCACUGUAUGUACUGGUUUUAUCACUGCAGCAGUUCAAUCUGCAUUACGCUUACAACGCUUGACUCCGUUAUUACUUGCAAUACCAAAUGUGUAACCUUAUUUCUAAACUGCGGUGAGAUUUUUCGUGCAAAUUAUUUGCUGUCUGAUCAGUGAAAACUUUCUCCCAGAAAAAAAAAAUAAUAAUUGUGGGAGUAGUAGUACAACAGUGGAAAAAGGAAACAAAAAUUCCAACUUUCACAUUCACAGAAGUUAGCUUCUUGCUUCCUACUUAUAUCACCCAGCACGUAUAAUAAUUCUAAGGAAAAGGUUCGUUAACUGCAGUUUACCGUUUUUCUGUAACGUUCUGUCUACUAUUUUCCUUUGGUAACCUUAUCAUGUGGUUAACAUUGUAUAUUUACCGUGCAAAAAAUGCGAUCUGUCAGUUUGGGUCCAGCCAUCUUGAUUUAUGCAUUACGUUCUGUAUAGUGCAGUUUACCGUUUUUCUGUAACGUUCUGUCUACUAUUUUCCUCCGGUAACCUUAUCAUGUGAUUAACGUUGUAUAUUUACCGUGCAAAAAAUACGAUCUGUCAGUUUGGGUCCAGCCAUACUGAUUUAUGCAUUACGUUCUUCCCCUAAUUUAUUAGCUUUCUGUUCCUUAGCCCUGUGAAGCGUGUUAUGUUGGCUAUUCGGACAUUUGAAAGCAGAAAGGCGAUGAAUAUUUCUGUCUCGAUUUCACAAAAAUAGUGAGUGUACUGCUUAAGCUGUGCGAAAAUGUGUCUGUAUUUGGUGUCUUGGGUUUUUUAAUGGAGAAGAAGGAAUCUUUUAAUAAUAUACCUGGCAAGCAUUAAGUAUCUACACCGUUUUUUAUGCAUAAAGAUGCGCAUUUUACUGGCUAAUGUUGUCGAUUGUACUGCUGCAGUGAGAUAAUAUCAUCUUCGCCGUGCCGCUUACCCAACAAUGGAAGUUGAACACCGAAAAACGGGUCUGCGCAAAACAGUUGAUUUGAGCGGCGCUACUCGCAAGAUGCGAUGGUUUUUACACAUAAAUACUGAGGACAGUCCGCGAAGGCGGGAAGGUCAAAGGGCGCAGAAACCGUGGGCGGAGUAGCCACGCCCUUCCAGCGGCCACCCAAGACGCCGCAACAGCCAACUGCUUCUCUGCAGAUAUCUUCAAGAACGCCAACACAAGUCUCAGCUUCCAUUCGGUUCGCAUUAUCUUUCCGUAUGAUUCAGAUAUGGUCUGCAGCAGUCAGAAAGUAGGCCCUUAAUUCUCAGUUAUUUUAUAUUCACGAAUUACCCUUUUUUUGUUAAUUAGUGCAGAGCCAUCACGAGAAUCUCUUUGAAAGACAAGGUAAAUCAAUGAAUCUUUGGUAUCAAAAUUAAGCUAACUGUUCCGUUUUUUAGUAUUUCUACAAGAUAGUAAAUGAUCUGUUGUAUGGUGCUUUCUAAAAGGUUUCAUAAAAAGCGUUGCUAGAUUAGAAAUUUCACCUGUCAGUAUCUUAAUUUUUUUCAGUGUUACAUAAACUGAUCUAAAUGGACACCCACACACAGACCUACACACGUGCGUGUGCAUAUGCGCAUGUACAGCCUUAUAAAAUCUUCACAUGGUUACAUGGCUUCAAUUUAUAAAUUAUCUUGGCAAGGAGAGUCAAUUACCAGCUAUUGUUAAGUGUUUCAAUUUGUAGUCGUCACCAUAGGUACAAAUCCACAACAGCAACAUCUGAUACUGGUGAAAUAAUUCGCUAUGGAUGAAACAGAAAAUAGUCAAGAUACAUAAUUAUUUCAACCCGUUACUGGUACUGAUCUUUCAAAAAUGGACCUGAACUGCCAUCUACCCACACAGCACAUUGUGACCAUUCUGAAGAUUACGAAGUAGUCGACUCUGAAUAUAUUUUAGUGGACAAUGGCUUGAGAUUAUUCACAUAAAUCUAAGAAAAUGAAAUAAAGGCAACCUAACUUAAAUGGCUGUAGCUUCUGUUUGUUAUAUGGUUGGUAAUAUUCCACAGAAUUAUCUGUUUAUUCUGUGGCUUUCUUUGUUGAAAUUUUAAGAAAUGAUUUCCUUAUUAAGUUCUAGUGCAUAAUCUGACUAUAUAACUAUAUUUUCAUGAGCCUGUGUGCUUCUCAGUUUGGUAUUUACAUUUUUAUUUUCUUUCUUACUUCCUAUGUGAAAUAACUAUGUUCACAGACAUUGUCCAUAUCUAUUAUUGAGACUAAUUUGUUUCCAUGAAGUUUCAUUUUAAAGAGAGCUUCAUUGUCACUCUAUUGACAGAGUAUGUAGAGAUAAUGAAGGACCAGUGCAGCUACAUUACUGUAAAAUUCAGCAACCCAGCAUAAUCAAACCCAGUGAUUAUUACAAUUAAUAUAUCCAGUUUUAACCACAAAAUUUUGUUGAGCUAUAGCCCAGAGUUUUCUUUUCCUCUGUUCGUUAAUUAUAUUCUUCAAGAAUAUAAUUUAAUUGGAGCAUCCACUAUUUCUCAUGUUAUUUUCACUAUGUCAGUAGUGUCUGCUACUGCUGAAGCCAUGAACUCUGAAAUAAAGAGAUACUAGCAAUACAGAUAUUCACCUGAAGUAGAUGUAAUUAUACAGCUUCCAUACUUUGUUUCUCUAUGAGCAAUAGAUGGUUAUAACAAAAAUGAAGAAUACAAAGUGGAAAAAAAACCUCAGACACAAUGUGGGACACAAAGGAAAUAUCAGAGCAAGAUCUAAUUAGUUUUUUUCUUUCAGAAAUGGUUAUUUUAAAAUAUCCUACAGCAGCAAUUCUGAAACAACACUUCUGAACAGAUGUGCUAGCAUAAAUGAUAAGUCAGCAGAACGUUGUCCUUUUUUUUUUUCUUCUACAAAUUGAAACUAUCUUUCAUCCAACUCAAUUUCUUCAUUACUCUCUCAAUAAUCAUAAAAGUGCUGAAGAAUUACUAAAAGGAAUUCCUAAAAUUAACAUUUUUUUUACUAUUCAUCCUAAUACUUCUGCAAAAGGAAAUACAUAGAAAAGUGGCCUUAUUAGAACUUGCUAUAACUCACACAGUUUAUCAUUAUUUUAUCACUUCAAAUUAUUUUAUUUCAUUGCACUACAAUACUGAAUAUGAUAGAACUAAUUUGGCUUUUGAAUAACAGAAAUGGCAUUUUACUUGCAGCAGUGACAUGUGUUAGAUCCACCUACAGUAAAUUCACAGGUAUUGGAAUUGUGAUCAAGAGCUCAGGAAAUCAGAGUCUUCAUACUACAUAUGCAUAGACUUUGUGAAUGGUGACUUAUAGAUUUUAAAAGUUACAAAGUAGCUUAAGCUUCUACUGUUUCAUUAGCAGUGUCUUACAGUGAUCACUAAAUAAAUGUUGCUUUAAAAACUUCUUAGCAGCGCAUUCCACUCACGCAUAUAAUUAGUUUUUGUUUUUGUAGUUUAACUCAUAUGAUUACAAUCUUUAUAAUUUUCUUAUUUUUCAUUAAUAAUAACCAUGUAGCAAUGCCAUAGUGCCAUUUCAUACAUGACAUUGGCCAGACUACUCAGCUGCUUGUGCAAAAUAAUAGUGUUGCAGGUAUAUUAAGAACUAAACAUCUAGAACAUAACAGGAAAUCUUUGUGUAACAACCAUGGUAUUACUGGUCAAGAAAAAAGGAAUAUCUCCUUUUUUUAAAUUUUCUUUCACUGAACAGUGGCUAUCACUUUUCUUAACUGAGAUAAACAUAUUAUGUAUAUGAUAUGAUUUUUUUCAAGCUUUCAGUAUUUUGAAGACAGCCAGUAUACAUUGUUGCCACUGAUAAGGGAUUAAAUUGAUUACAAAAAGUAUAGUACAGUACUUAAAUUUCAAUAUAAUUUUAAUGAGAAAUAGCUUUUGACACUGCCCUUUGUACAACCAAACUACCUCGGAGACUAUCAUAUUGUAAGUGCUUGCAUACUAAUUUAGUCUGUGUCAUCACUGCAAAUGCAUGAAAUAGUUUAUCAGGGGACAGUUAUGAGUAUUUGAUGAAUUACAAUUCUUCUACUCUAAUCUGUUCAUUGAAAUUUAUUUUUCGUUAUUGUACUUUCAGAUUUAGUUAGGCUAUUGGAAAAUUCUGGUGAUUAUUUGGUGCCCAUCUGAAUUUGAAGUUCAAAAUUAGCACAUGCAGUAUACAUGAAGAAGUAUUCAAGUAGUGUGCUCCCGAAAGCUUCAUAACAUGCUUCAGUGUCUACUGUUAUGAAAUAUCUCAUUCAUUGUAAGUUGAUGUGUCUAACUUAUUGCUUCUCAAGAAAAAUAUUUGUGUUUGAUUCCCUACACCCAUUACCUAAAGUACCCAUCACACCACUUAUGGUCAAUUUCUCAACAAGCUCAUAACCUAGCCAAAGCAACAUCACCAUAAUAAAUGAAAUGGAACUGAUUUUAAAGGUAGAACUACAAUGAAGAUGAGAAUGUCCACAGAAUAAUGAAUAUACACGCACAAAGGAUACACUUAGUUCAUGGGGCAUUUAUAGACUGCUUUUUUAAACAACCUAAAAUUUUGCUGUAAUUUCCUAAUUGAGUGCCAAUUUCAAGUAAGCAUGGGAAGUCUGAUCUGAUGUGAAAUGGUGUUAGAAAUUUUUGCUGAUGAAAUAGGAAGUAUGUGCCUCAUAUUUGUGCUAAAGUAAUGGUCUCUGCAACACAAAACUGAUUCACUGAUCAGUAACAUUAAAAUACCUCCUAUGUCCAUAUUUAAUAUAGUAAUUUAUUGUGCUGUACUUUUGCAUGGUUUGUUUCCAUCCCAUAUGAUUUUGGAUACAAAGUGUCAGUUACUUAGCCGAAAUGCUUAGCAUAAAAAUUUUGUUCGAUGCAUACUGAAUUAAUGAUAUUUGAAAUUAGCAACAACAUUUCAGAAUUAUAAUUUGCAAAAUUAACUUCUGUUAGCAAAAAGGUUUAAAAUGAAUGUGCACACACAGAGCUCAAUCAAUCACAGGUACCUAAUAAUACCUACAGAAAUACUGCAGCAGUGUGUAACAAGAUGCAUCACUCAAAGUAUAUGUACAAUAAGAAGUAUUUCUUAGCUUCCAUAACUCAGAUACAAAAACUUUCCCCAAUUAUUUCUACAUGCAAAAAAAGAUCUGCUUUGAUGACCUUUGUUCAUCAGUGUUACAAGGUUCUGGUGAAAAAACCUGAAAUAAAUAUGAAUACAUUUUAAUUUAAAUUCUUACUGUCAGGGUAUUCAGUUUUGAUAGCUUUAGUAUGUCCAAAGUGUUUAUUAUUAUUGUUCCUCUUUUUUCAGCAACAAUUACUCACCAUUUCAUCUGUUGUAAGUGGCUGUUCCCUAUAAUAGCCUACUGACUACAUAAAUAAAUAUACCAUUAUAAGUUUUCCUCUGGCUGGCUGUCUCCCUCUCUCUCAUACUUCAAAAAAAAAAAAAAUGGUAGAUGACUGUCUCUAGCUACAAUGGAAAGCAGGCUCUUAGAGUAACAGCAAUUAGAUUCCAGUACCAUUCACAAAAAAUUGAUGUUGAAACACUAAUAUUCUAUAAUGGCAACAUUUAUCUUGUAGCUAAGCUUAUCAACUCUUUACAGAAACAUCCUGGUGCUAGAUUACAGUACUUGGUGGAAGACUGUGAUACAGGCUUCUUCAGAAAUGCCUGAGUGAACUCAUCCAUAAAAAUUGAGUAAGAGUGUUGAUAAACAACAUACAUUGCUCUUACACCACAAUAAAGCUUGUUACAUUUGCAACAAAAUCACAAAUACAGCAAAAGUUAGGUGAAUCUGCGUAUGACAGUGAAAAGACUAUCCACACAUAGUUCACAAUUUUCAAAAAUUUCCUCUUUAAACAGUAUGAAAGGGCAACAAAGCAAUAUGAUAAAGUUGUAGGAUUGUACUACAUAAAAACGCGAAUAAAAUAUCUGAGAUUUCAUCUACAUAAGACUUACUUAAAUGUAUGACAUCUUGUUCAGUACUCCGAUAUACUUGUAGGAAGUCAAUGUACCUUCUUUAAAUUAGAUAUUUAUAUUCACUAAGAGUUCACCAAAGAGCAAGCUUGAUAAACAUUUUCUAUUUCGCCAGUAUGUGUUAUAUAGCAAACAAAUUCAUUUCUUAUCAUACUGAUACACAAAAUUAUUUUGAACAUAUGCUACUGUAUGUUAAAAGAAGCCAAUUUUGGCAGAAAAUUUGGUGCUGACUAGACAAUUGGUUUUGACAACAAUAAAACAUGUUCUUGAGCUGGAAAUCUCUCUGUUAUAAUCAUACAGUAGCUGUGUGGCACUAAGAGACCUAAGUUCAUGGUUACUACAGAAAUACUGUGAACCAGUUUCUUUGCUAGAGAAGACAACUCCUUGGAUUUUUCAAUAAUAAUAAUAUCAUUUCAUUCUUUCCUGAAAAAAUCUUGACUCAUAGCAAUGUGCCACAAGUUUUGUUUCAUACUACAUUUCCAUACACAAAACACUCACAUGCAUCUUCCUUAGAACAGAAGUACAAUGCGUACUUCACUCAAAUGGAAUGUCUUAUGGCAAUACAAUACAUGUCAGAAAUGAAGAACAUUUGUUGUGUAUACUAUGAAUACUAACAGAUUCAUAAAACAAUACAUAUUUUUUAAUGAAGAGAAGAUACACAGAAGCCUGCAUGGAAUUAUUGUUGAGGCAACACUUAUUUAUUUUUCUGCCUAUCUCUAUGUUUUUCUGUUGCUAAACACUUUUGCGUUCUCUUUGAGAAGUAAACAUUAACACUGAAUCACAGUUCACUUUACUGAUGUAUUCACACAUGGGACAGAUCACAGUGAAAUAAAUAUAUUUGUUUUACAGCUCACGUAUUCACAGCACCUUUGCAAAAAAGCUGAGCGAUUAACAGCAAAAGCAUUCACACUGUUCCUUAUAUAGCUGCGUUUUAAUAACACUGUAGCUUAGAAACCUCUGACCUUCAUGCAGCAACGUAGUAUGCUGAUAUGCCAAAAACUUCAUGAAAUACAUUGAUCCAUUAACAGGUGUGCCAGUUCUGUAACUGAGAUAAGACAAAAAUAUUUUACUUGUAGAAGUUCUUGUUUAAGACAGAAACCUAUACACAGCAGUUUCCCUACAAGCAAUUUUUUAAAAUGCUAGUUCAUUUCACUGACUUGUUUCAAACAUUAUUAUCAAAAAAUAUUACCUCAGCCAUAACCUUUCAACAAUUUUAAUAGUUUCUUAACCAUAUGAAAGUACAACAGAAUCACUCAGCAGCUGUUUCACAGGUUGGCAAAACAUAUCUUAUCGUUCACUGGGCAGCCUUAAUACUCACCAUGUACUUAAGUACAGCAAGAUCCUCUUACAAAAUUCAGAUGUCAAGAUACCAUUAGCAAUUCUACAAUUAUUAAAUAAUGUUGUCUGUGUUUUAGUAGAUCAACUCAAUACCUAGGCUACAAAACUGACAGAGUAGGAAACUGCCACUUACAACAGGCUGGUAGGCAAGAAUCGUAAAGCUGCUUGGAGACUGUGUGACUGAAGUGAUUGAUCUCUAAGACUGUGUGUGUGCUUGUGUAUUUAUGUGUGCAUUCUCUGUCAUGUGCACUUGUACAUGUUCCUGUGUAUUAUAUGUAGGAUUAAAAAAUGGAGUUAAAUGCAUUUAUGCAGAGACUGGUAUUACUACAUGUUGAAAAUAUUCUAUGUGUGGAUUGUAGACUGAGAGAUAUGAAUAGCAUCUGUUCUUGUUAUAACUGACAAUCAGGAAAAAUCUGAUGCUUAUUGUUGCAAUCUGCUGCACUAAAAAUCAUCCUUUAAGUGUACUAUAGGUUAGUGAGGUAUGUUAUGAAGAUAAUUUGGAUUGUUGUUAGUUUGACUGACUGUGUGGGAAAAAUACUGUAAGGAAAAUGAAGUAUUAGAAUAGAGUUCACAGUAAUAACUGCUAGACAGUAAUAAAGAAAGACACUGUUUCCAGUUAUAUGAAUUUUACACUUGGCCAUGUUUGCUGGAUUAUUAUUAUUAUUGUUAUUAUUAUUACGUAAGAGGUUGAAACUUUGUUAUCCAUCUUAGAUUGGUGACACUUAUUUGUAUCACUGUGAGCAAUUUAUGUCUGAAGCUGUCUUUAAAAGAUGAGAUUUAUUUCAGGCUUACUUAUUAACAUAAAGCCAUAGCAAAAGUUCUUCUAUUUCUGGCAAAAAUAUAACAAUACCUUUUCAACACAUUUGUAUGGCAUGUAGCUUCUUACAUAACACAAACAUGGAUUUCAUUACAUGCACAGAGAUUUAUUUGGUAAAGAAAUGCAACAAAGCUGCAGGUACUUCUUGGAGUUUCUGUGGUGAGCAACAUUAGAGUAAACUAUUGAUAAGCUCACAGUCCUUUGAAGAACUGUUGCAUAGCACAUAUAUGAACACUGAGAUUUGUACCAUAAUGGGCCUUUUACCAUAAUGGGCAUUUUCUAUUUCUGUUUUCCCUCAUAUGUCACCUUUGUUCUAGACAUCAUUCAUGACAUUCAUUAGCCAGUACCUGCAUUUUCAACUUCUGUAAACCAUGUCAUUCUGCACACAACAAUAAUAUUGUUGUAUUUUCUUUACUGCAGAACAGUUCUCUCUUACAUCUCAGUACCCAACUUUAAAAAUUUCUGAAUGAGAAAAAUACACUGAGUGUACCAAUUCAUUCAAUUGUUUUUAUUCUUUUAUCUGUUAGACAGAUAACUGAUGGCAUUGCAGUGCAUAAAACUGAAUCAUUGUAAAGGUUGAAUUAAGUUUCCUCCUUGCAGUCUACUUUUCAGUACAUGAGUCACACUGAACACACAUUUUGGUUGGGAAUUUAUGGAUGGGCAAACAUGAAAUUAUUUCACAAGAUUAUGAGCAGUUUUCAUAUUUUAUGUAUUUUCUUUCCUUAUUAUUGUGUAAACACAUUUACUGUUUACUUAACAUUAUCAACCAGCUUGUAUUUUGUAUGUCUAUUUUAUACAAGGAAAUUUCUUCAUAUUUAUAAUUUUCUUCUGAGCUCAUUUUGUACAGCAUAUUACUAUAGCUCCCUAACUGUUGCAUAAUGUAUGUGACUACUGGGUCUAAACAGCUAGUCAGCUAGUUAUGAGAAGAUUGCAAAUCAGCUUUUUUCUUCUCAAAUAUUCAGAAAUUGGCGGCAGCCUUGCUAAUCAAUACGUAAUUAUUAUUCAGUAAUUAGGUUUUGGAGCAAACAUACUGUACUGUAGAUAGAAAAUGAUAGUUAUGGGUCAUGAUUAAUGACCUCUAAUGUCUGACAUGUUGAAAUAAAUGAAAUUUUAUAAAGACAGCUGGUAAGAAAAUGAAGGGGGAGAUGUCAUUUGGGUGAAAGGGAUAGAUAGCAGUACUGAAGUGAACUGAAUUUGCUUAGCUUAAAUAAAUAAACUUACUGCAUUUGGCAUUGUAAUUUAUUACAGGUAAACAAAACAGAAAAUAUAAAUACUGAAUGUAAGUUCAGCACUCAUGGCUGUUCAUAUAUAACCAAUGGUUUGGCACUUCCAAACAUCAGCAUACCACACAAUGCCAAAUGACAUGUCUUUGUAGUAUGUAUGAAACUGGUAAUAUAGAAAUGCUUGUUAUUCAAUUUAUUUUCAUUUCAAGUCCAUAUUGUGUUUUUAUGAGCAAUUUUCAAUGUAAUACUGGAUCUUUUUCUACAAAAUGUAACAUUUUGUAUUCAAAAGAUGUCAGACUUCGUAUUGUUUCAUGCAAAUGCUCUUACAAAAGAAUCUCAUAGUUAAUUAGUUCCAUAGGUACUGGCAUAAUCAAGUGAAUCACCCACUCUGCUGGAAGAAGGUACAAUGCAAAGAGAAAGCUUCAGUGAAAUUGAUUCCACAUAUUCUGUUUUGUGAAAUUAGAAUUCUUAUUUACUUCUAAUUUUGUAUGUCACCAGUUGUGGAAAUAGUGAUGGCAGUGAGUGGCUUUUCCAGGCAUUGGCAUCCAAUGCUCUUGUCAUGGAUAUAAACAUAAACUAUAGUGUAAAAUCAUCUAAGACAGAAACCAACUUCAUAAGUUCUGGGGUUGUGAUCACCUUUUUUUCUGGUGUGAUUUGUAAAUGAAAAGUACCAGAAGAAACAGACAAAGACUAAUCUACUUUGCAAAUGAAAAGCUCACUUGAAUCUUCACUGCCCAAUUGUUGUUUACAAAGAAAAAGAUGUUAAUUAAAACAUAAAAACAUUGGUAAGUAAAUAAAAGACCAUAUUAAUUAUAAAAUAAAUAACUAAAACCAA